rnacentral:rRNA from 1 species
CCUACGGGAGGCAGCAGUGAGGAAUAUUGGUCAAUGGUCGCGAGCCUGAACCAGCCAAGUAGCGUGAAGGAUGACUGCACUACGGGUUGUAAACCUCUUUUAUAAAGGAAUAAAGUGAGGCACGUGUGCCUUUUUGUAUGUACUUUAUGAAUAAGGAUCGGCUAACUCCGUGCCAGCAGCCGCGGUAAUACGGAGGAUCCGAGCGUUAUCCGGAUUUAUUGGGUUUAAAGGGAGCGUAGAUGGGUUGUUAAGUCAGUUGUGAAAGUUUGCGGCUCAACCGUAAAAUUGCAAUUGAUACUGGCAGCCUUGAGUACAGUAGAGGUAGGCGGAAUGCGUGGUGUAGCGGUGAAAUGCUUAGAUAUCACGAAGAACUCCGAUUGCGAAGGCAGCUUACUAAACUGCCACUGACAUUGAUGCUCGAAAGUGUGGGUAUCGAACAGGAUUAGAUACCCCGGUAGUC